UACUAGCCGCGGGUGAAGUGGCAUCCUUUUUUUGCUUACUAAGUCUUUUUUUUUAAAGAAUAAAUUUCCAGCAAAAAAAAGAUAUAACGGAACACGGGAACCAUC
rnacentral:sRNA from 1 species